rfam:Actinokineospora bangkokensis strain 44EHW Scaffold15, whole genome shotgun sequence.
UCGGUUUCGGUUCACCCCUCCGGCCCUGGUGGGGACCCGACGACC